UACGGAGGGGCGUAGCGUUGUUCGGUAAGUUACUUGGGCGGUAAAGACGCACGUAGGCGGAACAGAAAGUACAGAGGUGAAAUACCCCACGGGCGUCAACCUUAGGAACUAGCCUUUGUAAACUACCUGUUCUUGAGGUCGAGAGAGGUGAGUGGAAUUCCGAGUGUAGAGGUGAAAUUCGUAGAUAUUCGGAGGAACACCAGUGGCGAAGGCGGCUCACUGGCUCGAUACUGACGCUGAGGUGCGAAAGCGUGGGGAGCAAACAGGAUUAGAUACCCCCGUAGU
rnacentral:rRNA from 1 species